rnacentral:rRNA from 1 species
UACAGAGGUCCCAAGCGUUGUUCGGAUUCAUUGGGCGUAAAGGGUGUGUAGGUGGCGCCGUAAGUCGGGUGUGAAAUUUCGGAGCUUAACUCCGAAACUGCAUUCGAUACUGCGGUGCUUGAGGACUGGAGAGGCGACUGGAAUUCAUGGUGUAGCAGUGAAAUGCGUAGAGAUCAUGAGGAAGACCAGUGGCGAAGGCGGGUCUCUGGACAGUUCCUGACACUGAGACACGAAGGCCAGGGGAGCAAACGGG